UGGGAGGGCGACAGUCUCUCUUAUGUUGUUGGAUUCUCCUCUUGAGAUACUGGGAUCUUAUCUUUGAUUUUGGAGAAGAAUUUUCGAUUUUGCGUAAUCGUCUUCAGUGCAAUCCUCCCUCCUCCAGCAUCUCUCACACAGGACAUCACUCUCUCAGAAAUCCCCCUCAGGUACAUCAUCGUAUGAUAUCUCUGGGGUUCCAUGGGCUCCAUCUGUGCCUCUCUAACACGCUGGGGACUUCUACUCGCCUGUAUCACCGCUUUUAUUAUGUGUUGUGGGAAAUCAUUUUUCCUCAGUACUGAUCUUAUUGUGGGCUCCGGAUUUACACCUGGUUUCGUCGUGACAUUUUUGACUCUCCUAGCGAAAUUCCUUGCCAUGGUUAACACUGUGUUUGCCGGAUGCCCGCUGUUAAAAUUCAGCAUUCGUUGGGAAGCGAUCGGCUUUGAGUACCAGACCGAUGUUAUGGUGUUGUCUGGCAUUCUGUGGAGAGCCAGGUCCAGGUAUGGGAGAAUACCAUCACACUCCCUUUCCAUUGUGAACUGGAUCUUUUCAUGGAAUCCAUUGAACUCUCCCAGGACAUUCUCCACAUCAUCAGAAUGGAUAGUGAUCAAUAGGUCGUCUACAUAUUUUCGGAUUAGACCAAUCCUCACCGAGCAACUCUCCAGGAUCGAGUUUAACGCCCUUUGCAUCACGAUGUCGGCUAUGAUUGGGCUUAUGGGAGAACCCAUCGCCACACCUUCUGUUUGAAUGACAUUGUUUCCCUACUCCACUGGCGGAGCAUCCUCUCGACUGGCAUUAGGUCUCCUGGACGUUUUACACCAUUUUGCAAGAUGUUUGUCAGCCUUGCCCUGACUAUGUUCCUCUCUUCCUCAUCGUCCACCGAACCCGCAAUCUCUUCAGCGUCCGCAAUUGCAUGCAAUAUUGGAAUCUUGAUUGUGGGUAAUGCAAAUUUUGGCCCGAGCGCGAGUAGCCUACGGACAUUCUCUGGAAUUUCCACCCCACUGAUGUUCACCAGGAACCCCGGAUGAUCACCAAUAUGCCGUGAUCCAGCCUCCCAUCUCAAACCAACAAACUUGCGCUCAACACACGACGAUCUCUCAUUCACCAAUGCAACAUAAAUUACCUCUUGGCGGGAAAAGAAUUCAUCGAAUUGCUCCCUCGGAAGCCUUCGCUGUAUUGCCCUCCUGACAUCACUCAGCUCUCCCUGUAUCCUUCUCAAUCUCCAAUGUGUGAUUCCGAGUUCUAAUUUGAGAAUUUUGGCCUUAAAUAAAUCCAUCAACCUAGUUGCUCGGCCAUUAAACGGGGAAUCUGCGACUAUAAGGUUCUUGACACACUCCAAAUUAUCUGUGAUGUGUCUCGGAAAAAUUCCUUGCCUUCGGCAAUGGAUGAGGAACA